UAGGCACCUGUUUGGAUUUGGAAAUCUGAAAUUGCAGGGCAGCACAGCAGCAGGACAUGCAGCAGCGAGCAGCAUGGUUUACAUUUACAGUUUACAUUAAGUUCUGCCAAGUGCCCAAGCACUUCUGCAGUACAGAAAGUUCAGUCCACACUCCUAGUCCCCGCCAGGAUGAGAAAAGUUACUUUCCGGUUGCUUGACUUCUGGCUUCAGGCUGACACUGAAGACAAGACAUGCUUGUGGGCAUUUUGCCUCAUUACCAAGGAAUGCAGUUCUUAAAAAGCUGCUGCAGGAAGGCUAGAGAUUAAUAAAGAAAGAACUGUUUAUGUAGGAGGACAUGAAGAACCACACUAUAAAUAAGUAACAGAAUCCUCCAGCUCAAUAUGAGAACAAGCCAGAAACAAAUCCUGCUGUAAGAACCAAUCUAUCACAACUGACAUUUCAUUCACAUAAAUAUCAAAUCUGUUUUUUUUAUGCCUCUACAUAAUCUAAAGUAUUAUGGAGGACGUCAACUGAGAUGCAUGAGGAAGAGAAGGAAUAUGAAAAAGCAUUCUAAGAAGAAGGACAUUUAUACCAGAAAGGCAGCAUACAAUGUACAUUAAAGAUAGAAAAAUAGCCAGAGAACAGUAGAACAGUAUAACUGUUCUGCAACUGUAUUCUUUUAACAAAGCAUGAAUACAGCCUCUAGAGACUGAUCUAUUUGCUUUUUAUUUAACUUCAGCUACUUUUGUUACAUAUGCCCCCAACAUGGAAUUUCGGAAUAACAGUCUUCUAGAAAUAAGUUCAACAAGAGACAGGAGGCCCAAUAUAAGAACAUAAUGCUACUAAACUGUAAGGUAAUAGGGCCCACAGCUGUGUUCUCUUCCAGUAUGUUCUCUUCAAGUACUAUUCUCAGAGAGCUGUUCUAUAUAGAUUUAUUAGUUUUAGCGACAUGGUUACAUUUUUAAGUCAAUUUUUUUUGUUAUUAUCUCACGUUCAAACACUUUUUCUCU